rnacentral:pre_miRNA from 2 species
UUUGAGGGGAAUGCUGCGUGGUCCAAGGAAAUCGAUAAUAUAUAACUCCACCUUUCACUACUUCACAUCAGAUCAUUCAGAUGCAAUAAUUCUAUACAACAUCUGCAGAUUAUGUUUUAUAUGUCUCCUCGGACCAGGCUUCAUUCCCCUCAAU